UCUUAUAUACACCAUUCAACUUAUAAUUAAGAUAUGGUUUUUAUUUAUUUAUACAUUCAUUCACUUUUAUAUUUUUUAUUAAAGCAAAAUCUGCAGAAAGAACCACACCUGAAUAUCAUAAUGAUUUCUCCAGCACUGAAGGCCCAACAGAAAAGCAACAAAUCACAUCAGAGAACUAUGAUGAUGUCAUCAUUGCUGGACUGAGACAUGCUACAGAUGACUUACCAGAAAACUAUGAUGAUGUUGUCAUUAUAAGACAGCUGUCCAAUGAUAAAGCAGAGGGUGUUCAGGAGGAGUAUGAUGAUGUGAAGAAUGUCAGAGAAUAUAUGACUGACAUGUUUGACUAUGAUGAUGUGGAGGAGGAUCCAGGAAAACAGACAGGAGCUGUUUAACUCAAACCUCACACACUGCCUCAAAUCCUUUCAAAGCUUUUAAAGUAUAAAACUUACUAUAUAAGUUUCAGUUGCAGUCUAACAGUGUUUUGUUACAUUCUGUACUGAAAUAUACAACUGCUAUUUUUGACAGAAAAAAAAUGCUUUGCUUUCAUGACCAUUUUUAAAAGAUGCUUGACUUUUUCCAGACACUUUUACAAAUCUUUUCUAUUGUGUAGCCUUAGAAAUUUGAGAGAACAAAAACCUGUCAUUUUCUGAAAUUCAGUUACUUUGAAUAAACAUAAUUGUGUUGAGUUCAGAUCGUUCAUCAUUCAGCUGCCACCCAUCAUUAAUGGAUUAUAAUAUCUUCAACUUAAUAAUAUUAUAAUAUGAAAUAUCAAAAUAUCAUUCACUGAUGGCUCACUGUUAAU